UGAAGUUGACGGGACCCGCACAAGCGGUGGAUGAUGUGGUUAAUUCGAUGCAACGCGAAAACCUUACCACCUUUGACAUGUACGGAAUCCUUUAGAGAUAGAGGAGUGCUCGAAAGAGAGCCGUAACACAGGUGCUGCAUGGCUGUCGUCAGCUCGUGUCGUGAGAUGUUGGGUUAAGUCCCGCAACCGAGCGCAACCCUUGCCAUUAGUUGCUUACAUUUAGUUGAGCACUCUAAUGGGACUGCCGGUGACAAACCGGAGGAAGGUGGGGAUGACGUCAAGUCCUCAUGGCCCUUAUAGGUGGGGCUACACACGUCAUACAAUGGCUGGUACAAAGGGUUGCCAACCCGCGAGGGGGAGCUAAUCCCAUAAAGCCAGUCGUAGUCCGGAUCGCAGUCUGCAACUCGACUGCGUGAAGUCGGAAUCGCUAGUAAUCGUGGAUCAGAAUGUCACGGUGAAUACGUUCCCGGGUCUU
rnacentral:rRNA from 1 species